GUAUCCUAACCGUGCGAAGGUAGCGUAAUCACUUGUCCUUUAAAUGAGGACUAGUAUGAAUGGCCUCACGAGGGCUACACUGUCUCCUUUUUCUAAUCAGUUAAACUAAUCUUCCCGUGAAGAAGCGGGAAUAAAUUUAUAAGACGAGAAGACCCUAUGGAGCUUUAAACAAACGACUCAUUUGCACCCAAUAUUUUUGUUCCAGAAUACCACAUUUAGCCAAGCAUUUUGUUUCUAGUUUUAGGUUGGGGUGACCACGGAGAAAAAACUAACCUCCAUGAAGAAAGAAAUUUAAUUUCUAAGCAAAAAAUUACAUUUUUAUGCAUCAAUAAAUUGACCUAAAUUGACCCAAUAAUUUGAUCAACGAACCAAGUUACCCUAGGGAUAACAGCGCAAUCCACUUCAAGAGCUCUUAUCGACAAGUGGGUUUACGACCUCGAUGUUGGAUCAGGGUAUCCUAGUGGUGCAGCAGCUA
rnacentral:rRNA from 3 species